rnacentral:rRNA from 1 species
CCUACGGGCGGCAGCAGUGAGGAUUAUUGGUCAAUGGGCGCGAGCCUGAACCAGCCACGCCGCGUGAAGGAUGACGGCCCUACGGGUUGUAAACUUCUUUUAUAAAGGAAUAAAGUGAGGCACGUGUGUCUUUUUGUAUGUACUUUAUGAAUACGGAUCGGCUAACUCCGUGCCAGCAGCCGCGGUAAUACGGAGGAUCCGAGCGUUAUCCGGUUUUAUUGGGUUUAACGGGAGCGUAGAAGGGCUGUUAAGUUAGUUGUGAAAGUCUGCGGCUCAACCGUAAAAUUGCAAUUGAUACUGGCAGACUUGAGUGCAGUUGAGGUAGGCGGAAUUCGUGGUGUAGCGGUGAAAUGCUUAGAUAUCACGAAGAACACCGAUUGCGAAGGCAGCCUACUAAACUGCAACUGACAUUGAUGCUCGAAAGUGUGGGUAGCAAACAGGAUUAGAUACCCCGGUAGUC